GAUUGCUAAGAUUAAGGUUUUAGCAACAAGGCUUGAAUAAUUCAAGAGAGUUUAAUUCCUUCACUUAGUUUAAAAAGUGUAAACACAUAAACAAUG
rnacentral:ncRNA from 1 species